rfam:Schistosoma mansoni strain Puerto Rico chromosome W, complete genome
AUCCAGCUGACGAGUCCUAAAUAGGACGAAAAGCGCGUCCUGGAU